UUUUAAUAGGCUUAGAAGAUUCCACAUCGAGAAGAAGGAAAAGUUAAGAAUUAGACCAGAAGCCAAAAAUGGACUAUAAGUCAAUACACUAUUGGUGUACCUACAGGAAUGAUUACCCACAACCAGGCUGCAAACAGAAAGCCGACUUUGAGCCUUCAUUAGUAUGUGCCUGAGGAUUACUAGUUCAUUAUAUUCGUGCUAUUUUGAUUUAUUUGAAAGCCCACCUUUUUCAUCAUCA